UUAGUCGGUCUCGGAGCAAACGAAGUGAAGCAUGUCAUUAAAUACGAUAGUACGCGUAAAAUCUUACCAGUUCUUGCAUAAACCAAUCUCUCUUAAUAGACUAGAUUGCAUAAUUUCUCAACUUAACUAAGUCCAAGGAGCCAAAUGAGCCCUAAGGGAGCUGUCUUUUUAUUACUAUUUUAUAUUGAAUUGAUAUAAUAAUAGAUCAAAAAUAAAAGGACAAAGGUUAAAAAGGAAUUUGUUUACAGGUGUUGCAUGGCUGUCGUCA
rnacentral:rRNA from 1 species